UUAUUAUUCAGAGAUUAUUUAACUUAUUGUUAAUGUGUUUAAAUGAAACUUAACAAAAAAGUUUUUAGUAAAGGUAAAGGUAAAGGUUAACUUUAUUGUCCUCAAAGAGGAAAUUUGUUCUGGGCCAGAGAGCUACAAACUGUAAAACAUCCUUCAUCAUUCACACAUCACAUACAUGAUAAAAGAGCAUAAAGCGAUUACAUGAUAAAUAAAUAAAAACAGAGUAUACAGAUUUUUACCCCAGUCCUGACCUUCACAGUCGAGAACACGAGUAGUAGGCUGCUAGAAGUUGAAGCUGGGGUAACUAUGGUGCUCUGGGGUUCUGUCCUCUUUUCUCAUCUACUUCUACCCUUCCUCUCUCCUCUAUUCUUGAUCAUUAUUCAUCAUUUAGUUCUCCAUGUCUCUGUUUGGUGCAGUGAUUCAUGUACUGUCCCUCUUUCACACUGCCUUCCUGGGGAGUGGAAGGGCUUCCAGAUUCCAGUUGGCUUGUCUGUUCCCUGACCGUAGACCUCGUCUCUGCUCCUGCUCCUACACUUGGCUGUGGAUCCUUCCUCCGGCUGGCCUCGCGCCCCCAGCCGUCCCCCAACCUCAUCUGGAUGAAGUUCAUCUACAUGUACAGGGCACCGACUCGGUUCUAGUGAUUCAGGAACCGCUGGAACCAGCUGGGAGAUAUUCUGUAGCAGCCGGCGAGGACGCCCACGGGUCGGCGUGCUCUUCCUCUACGCUCCACCCUCCCCCGCAGCCCCUCCUUUGGACGCAGAAGUGAUGACCCACGAAUGCGUGAAACCAUGGAUACUGACACGUGAACACGUGGGGGAACGCUGUCUUCAGACUGAAAAUUUGUUCCUAAUUAUUGGGGGAAAUGAACUCUGGUUCACUUGAAUCAGAUGUGUGGGUCUGAAUGCAGCCUUACAGGACGAUGGCAGCAGAACUGUUUUAAUAAACAGGCUUUUCUGCGUAAUGGAUGAGAAACGAUCCAAUAGGGAGAAGAAUAGUAUCCAAGUGGAAAAAAAGCUUUCACAUUUACACAUGCCAUAUUUUGAAUAAAGGUCCUAAUAUUGAUGGAGAAA